rnacentral:snRNA from 1 species
GGAUGUGAGGGCGAUCUGGCUGCGACACCUGUCACCCCACUGGUCGCCAGGGUUGAUCCGGCUGAUCUGGCUGGCUGGGCGGGUGUCCCCUUCCUCCCUCACGGCUUCAUGUGCGUCCCUCCCAAAGCUGUGCGCGCUCGGUUGAAGAGGACGGCCUUCCCCGAAUAGAGACGGGCGGGUUUUUGGUGGGUGUAUGAGUAGCUGCGCUCCCCUGCUAGACCCUCCAAACAGGCUCUCAAAAUUCUCUAUGGGGAGCAAAAGGUGGGGAGUUCUGGCUUCUGUCGUUACUUCUACCGCUGGACAUGGGUGUUGGUAGGUGGACCCACACACCCAGCCUGU